CCUACGGGUGACAGCAGUGGGGAAUCUUCCGCAAUGGGCGAAAGCCUGACGGAGCAACGCCGCGUGAUCGAAUGAAGGCCUUCGGGUUGUAAAGAUCUGUUGACAGGGACGAAUAAGCCAUGCGAAUAGUUUGGUGUAUGACGGUACCUGUUUAGAAAGCUCCGGCUAACUACGUGCCAGCAGCCGCGGCAAUACGUAGGGGGCAAGAGUUGUCCGGAAUUACUGGGCGUAAGGGGCGCGUAGGUGGAUGCUUAAGUCAGGUGUGAAAACUCUGGGCUCAACCUGGAGACUGCAUUUGAAACUGGGUAUCUUGAGGGCUGGAGAGGAAGGUGGAAUUCAUAGUGUAGCGGUGAAAUGCGUAGAUAUUAGGAGGAACACCAGUGGCGAAGGCGACUUUCUGGACUGUACCUGACGCUGAGGCGCGAAAGCGUGGGUAGCGAACGGGAUUAGAUACCCUGGUAGUC
rnacentral:rRNA from 1 species